AUUUCCUUUAUCUUCUUUUUCUGCACCAGAAAUUUCAGCUCUUCUUUCUCUAUUCCUUUUUCUUUCUCUCUUCUUUGCUCUUACACGGCAACACCUCUCCCUCACUCUCUCACCGAAAAUCAUAUACAUCUCUCUCUAAGAAGAAAUUAAGAGCCUAACACUAAGGUUUCAACUUCAAAGUUUGUGGGUGACGAGAACGAGAACAUGAACACUUGAGCUCCUCUUGUACAAUCUCUCGUGUCUUCUGUUUUUAGUGCACAGGUUCUUCCUGGAAGCAGCGAGAGUAUUAGAGAUGGCAAGGAUUCUGUGAUUCUCGCUUGUUAGAAUGUAUAGUUUUUGUUGUAUAGUAGUUUAGCUCUUUUGUGUUAUAGAAGGAAUCAAGAUGUACUUGAUCCUUGAGCACAGAUGUAAUUCAGAACCUUAGUUUGUUUUGAACCCCAGUUGUAUGUCUUUGGGGUUAGGUUUGUAAUAAGAGUUUUGUUAAACGUUUAGCUAUGUAAUAUUUACACGGAUACCUGACCUUUCAACCAAGUGGUAAUCUUCCAAGUUCAAAUGAAAUGAAGUUUCAAGGCUUUCAUCA